GUAGGGGAAGGACACCAUUCUCUCUACCACAGUUUUGUCCCCCUACUUUGUCUCCUACCGUAUCCAAAGCUUUUAAAUAUUUCAAGUCUACAAUAAAAGCUUAUUUAAAAAGUAAAUGCCAUAAAGUGUUAGCAAGCACAUUAUGUAUACCCCCCGGCCUACUGUAGUAGAAGGUAGUUCUUGAAAAGGGAGCACAAAACACAAAAAUGACCUAUGAUGGUACUGCAGGACUGGUGGCCAUCAGCAAAGAACACACUUUUUAAGGAAGCUCUGUUGCUCUCCAAAUCAUAAUUCUGACCCCACAUCUAUGGAAAUGGCUCUGACAUGGACAAAGGAUCUAACAUCUUUCCGGGCUACAAGAUCACCUCUGCUUCAGGCUGGAAUGCUCUUCUCCAGAGAAUCCAGGAACUGACAUAUGUAAACACCCACCCAGAAGGACAUAUCCAAGAGGGAAUGGAAAGAAAAAUGAUGGUCCAGAUGUUCUGUAACUUGCAAUGACUGCCAAAUCACCGUGGACCCAAAGCACCUGGGAGGCCAGGCUGUGUCAGGCCUUACUUCCUGGUUUCAGACAGCCAGGGACCUGUGGCUGGGUGGUGACUGUGACAGCCUGCAGACUAGUUGGGAGAGAACCCGUUAGAAGGGCACCAGCUGACAGGACUUGGGGGCUGAACACACAGAGCUUGAUUUAUCACUUCCUUACUCAUAAAAAUGUGAUUCAAAGUGCU
rnacentral:lncRNA from 1 species